AGGACGAACGCUGGCGGCGUGCUUAACACAUGCAAGUCGAACGGGGCACUUCGGUGCUUAGUGGCGAACGGGUGAGUAACACGUGAGCAACCUGCCCUUGGCUCUGGGAUAGCCUCCGGAAACGGGGAUUAAUACCGGACAGGACCCUGGUCUGCAUGGACCGGGGUGGAAAGUUUUUCGGCCAGGGAGGGGCUCGCGGCCUAUCAGCUUGUUGGAGGGGUAACGGCCCACCAAGGCGACGACGGGUAG
rnacentral:rRNA from 1 species